AAACUUUUAACAACGGAUCUCUUGGUUCUGGCAUCGAUGAAGAACGCAGCGAAAUGCGAUAAGUAAUGUGAAUUGCAGAAUUCAGUGAAUCAUCGAAUCUUUGAACGCACAUUGCGCCCCUUGGUAUUCCGAGGGGCAUGCCUGUUCGAGCGUCAUU
rnacentral:rRNA from 1 species